AAUCAACGCUGGCGGCGUGCCUCAGACAUGCAAGUCGAACGAGAAAGUUCCCUUCGGGGAAUGAGUAAAGUGGCGCACGGGUGAGUAACACGUAGGUAAUCUACCUUCGGGUGGGGAAUAACCCAGGGAAACUUGGGCUAACACCGCAUAAUGCAGCGGCACCACAUGGUGACAGUUGUUAAAGCGGGGGGAUUUUAGGACCUCGCGCCUGAAGAGGAGCCUGCGGCGGAUUAGCUUGUUGGUAAGGUAACGGCUUACCAAGGCGACGAUCCGUAGCCGGCCUGAGAGGGCGGUCGGCCACACUGACACUGACAUACGGGUCAGACUCCUACGGGAGGCAGCAGUCGGGAAUUUUGGGCAAUGGGCGAAAGCCUGACCCAGCAACGCCGCGUGAAGGAUGAAAUCCCUCGGGA
rnacentral:rRNA from 1 species